GACGAACGCUGGCGGCGUGCUUAACACAUGCAAGUCGAACGGAAAGGCCCUUCGGGGUACUCGAGUGGCGAACGGGUGAGUAACACGUGGGUGAUCUGCCCUGCACUUUGGGAUAAGCCUGGGAAACUGGGUCUAAUACCGAAUAGGACCACGCGCUUCAUGGUGUGUGGUGGAAAGCUUUUGCGGUGUGGGAUGGGCCCGCGGCCUAUCAGCUUGUUGGUGGGGUAAUGGCCUACCAAGGCGACGACGGGUAGCCGGCCUGAGAGGGUGACCGGCCACACUGGGACUGAGAUACGGCCCAGACUCCUACGGGAGGCAGCAGUGGGGAAUAUUGCACAAUGGGCGCAAGCCUGAUGCAGCGACGCCGCGUGAGGGAUGACGGCCUUCGGGUUGUAAACCUCUUUCAAUAGGGACGAAGCGCAAGUGACGGUACCUAUAGAAGAAGCACCGGCCAACUACGUGCCAGCAGCCGCGGUAAUACGUAGGGUGCGAGCGUUGUCCGGAAUUACUGGGCGUAAAGAGCUCGUAGGUGGUUUGUCGCGUUGUUCGUGAAAACUCACAGCUUAACUGUGGGCGUGCGGGCGAUACGGGCAGACUAGAGUACUGCAGGGGAGACUGGAAUUCCUGGUGUAGCGGUGGAAUGCGCAGAUAUCAGGAGGAACACCGGUGGCGAAGGCGGGUCUCUGGGCAGUAACUGACGCUGAGGAGCGAAAGCGUGGGGAGCGAACAGGAUUAGAUACCCUGGUAGUCCACGCCGUAAACGGUGGGUACUAGGUGUGGGUUCCUUCCUUGGGAUCCGUGCCGUAGCUAACGCAUUAAGUACCCCGCCUGGGGAGUACGGCCGCAAGGCUAAAACUCAAAGGAAUUGACGGGGGCCCGCACAAGCGGCGGAGCAUGUGGAUUAAUUCGAUGCAACGCGAAGAACCUUACCUGGGUUUGACAUGCACAGGACGCCGGCAGAGAUGUCGGUUCCCUUGUGGCCUGUGUGCAGGUGGUGCAUGGCUGUCGUCAGCUCGUGUCGUGAGAUGUUGGGUUAAGUCCCGCAACGAGCGCAACCCUUGUCCUAUGUUGCCAGCGGGUUAUGCCGGGGACUCGUAGGAGACUGCCGGGGUCAACUCGGAGGAAGGUGGGGAUGACGUCAAGUCAUCAUGCCCCUUAUGUCCAGGACUUCACACAUGCUACAAUGGCCGGUACAAAGGGCUGCGAUGCCGUGAGGUGGAGCGAAUCCUUUCAAAGCCGGUCUCAGUUCGGAUCGGGGUCUGCAACUCGACCCCGUGAAGUCGGAGUCGCUAGUAAUCGCAGAUCAGCAACGCUGCGGUGAAUACGUUCCCGGGCCU
rnacentral:rRNA from 1 species